CACGUAGGGUGCGAGCGUUGUCCGGAAUUAUUGGGCGUAAAGAGCUCGUAGGCAGUGUGUCGCGUCGGCCGUGAAAAAUUCGAGGCUCAACCUCGAACUUGCGGUGGGUACGGGCAGACUAGAGUGUGGUAGGGGUGACUGGAAUUCCUGGUGUAGCGGUGGAAUGCGCAGAUAUCAGGAGGAACACCGAUGGCGAAGGCAGGUCACUGGGCCAACUACUGACGCUGAGGAGCGAAAAGCAUGGGGGAGCGAACAGG
rnacentral:rRNA from 1 species